rnacentral:rRNA from 1 species
GACGAACGCUGGCGGCGUGCCUAAUACAUGCAAGUCGAGCGAACUUUUGGGAGCUUGCUCUCAAAAGUUAGCGGCGGACGGGUGAGUAACACGUGGGCAACCUGCCUAUAAGACUGGGAUAACUUCGGGAAACCGGAGCUAAUACCGGAUGAUUCUUUUUUACACAUGUAGGGAAGCUAAAAGAUGGUUUACGCUAUCACUUAUAGAUGGGCCCGCGGCGCAUUAGCUAGUUGGUGAGGUAACGGCUCACCAAGGCCACGAUGCGUAGCCGACCUGAGAGGGUGAUCGGCCACACUGGGACUGAGACACGGCCCAGACUCCUACGGGAGGCAGCAGUAGGGAAUCUUCCGCAAUGGACGAAAGUCUGACGGAGCAACGCCGCGUGAGUGAUGAAGGUUUUCGGAUCGUAAAACUCUGUUGUUAGGGAAGAACAAGUACGAGAGUAACUGCUCGUACCUUGACGGUA